rnacentral:rRNA from 1 species
UGGGGAAUAUUGCACAAUGGAGGGAACUCUGAUGCAGCGACGCCGCGUGAACGAAGAAGGCUUUCGAGUCGUAAAGUUCUUUUAUAUGGGAAGAUAAUGACGGUACCAUAAGAAAAAGCCCCGGCUAACUACGUGCCAGCAGCCGCGGUAAUACGUAUGGGGCGAGCGUUGUCCGGAAUUAUUGGGCGUAAAGGGUACGUAGGCGGUCUAUUAAGUCAGGUGUGAAAGCGUGAGGCUUAACCUCAUUAAGCACUUGAAACUGAUAGACUUGAGUGAAGGAGAGGAAAGUGGAAUUCCUAGUGUAGCGGUGAAAUGCGUAGAUAUUAGGAGGAAUACCGGUGGCGAAGGCGACUUUUUGGCCUGCAACUGACACUGAGGCGCGAAAGCGUGGGGAGCAAACAGG